AAGUCGUAACAAGGUUUCCGUAGGUGAACCUGUGGAAGGUAUCCAACGUUAAACAACCCUGUGAACCUUAAGUCCCCUCUUGCAGCCCAUGAGGAACAGCAAUCCCGGUAAAUCAUUGCCAAACAGUUUUGAUUCGGCCUCUGUCCAAAAGGAGUUGCAAUCGAAGGGUGGAAGCAGUGGCAUGGCUUCCCCAAGCAGUUAGUGCUGUGUCACUGACUGUGUAAGGAUAACGCCUCACGGUUGCUAGGUCGAUCAACCGCGCAGACAUGUCCCAGGGUCACCACGCCCCUUAAUCACUCCACUUGAAAAUGCGUGGUAACGCGCUAGGUAAAAACCGAACAACGUUAACAGGUUCUC
rnacentral:misc_RNA from 1 species